rnacentral:rRNA from 1 species
CUACGGGCGGCUGCAGUGGGGAAUAUUGCACAAUGGAGGAAACUCUGAUGCAGCAACGCCGCGUGGAGGAUGACACUUUUCGGAGCGUACACUCCUUUUAUAUAGGAAGAUAAUGACGGUACUAUAUGAAUAAGCACCGGCUAACUCCGUGCCAGCAGCCGCGGUAAUACGGAGGGUGCAAGCGUUACUCGGAAUCACUGGGCGUAAAGAGCGUAUAGGCGGGUUAAUAAGUCAGAAGUGAAAUCCUAUGGCUCAACCAUAGAACUGCUUUUGAAACUGUUAACCUAGAAUAUGGGAGAGGUAGAUGGAAUUUCUGGUGUAGGGGUAAUAUCCGUAGAGAUCAGAAGGAAUACCGAUUGCGAAGGCGAUCUACUGGAACAUUAUUGACGCUGAAACGCGAAAGCGUGGGGAGCAAACAGGAUUAGAUACCCGGGUAGUC